rnacentral:rRNA from 1 species
AUUGAACGCUGGCGGAAUGCUUUACACAUGCAAGUCGAACGGUAGCACGGACUUCGGUCUGGUGGCGAGUGGCGAACGGGUGAGUAAUGUAUCGGAACGUGCCCAGUCGUGGGGGAUAACGUAGUGAAAAUUACGCUAAUACCGCAUACGAUCUAUGGAUGAAAGCGGGGGAUCGCAAGACCUCGCGCGAUUGGAGCGGCCGAUAUCAGAUUAGGUAGUUGGUGGGGUAAAGGCCCACCAAGCCAACGAUCUGUAGCUGGUCUGAGAGGACGACCAGCCACACUGGAACUGAGACACGGUCCAGACUCCUACGGGAGGCAGCAGUGGGGAAUUUUGGACAAUGGGCGAAAACCUGAUCCAGCCAUUCCGCGUGCAGGAUGAAGGCCCUCGGGUUGUAAACUGCUUUUGUACAGAACGAAAAGGUUUCUACUAAUACUAGGAGCUCAUGACGGUACUGUAAGAAUAAGCACCGGCUAACUACGUGCCAGCAGCCGCGGUAA